rnacentral:lncRNA from 1 species
UUUCUUUUCUGGAGAGCCGGCCAAUGAGGCACAGGCUGGGUACUGCAGGAGGCGCGGCUGAGGGAACAGCAGGCCUCGGUCUAAUUUGGGGCCAGCUCCUGUGUAAGGAAGUCAAGAUUUUCUCAAGGGAAAAAUCACCCUAGAAACCAUCAACUCAUGACAAACGUGAUCUCCAACGUUCAUUGUGGAAAAUAGCCUCAAGGAUGAGAUGAUGAGGAUUUUGAAGAUGGCGCCUACCUUCGGGGUGUGGAGGUAGAGACAGGAGAGAAGCUCAGGAUGCUGCUCAGAACAACCCAUGGCUCAGACUUCCCACCUGCAAGAUGAGCAGACGGGCAGAAGGGUCCUCUCCUUGUCUGCCACCCGCAUGGCGUGCUGUGAGGAGCCUGUGAGAACCUGCCCAUCACCAUGAGAAGUGCAACACCAACCUCAGGUGGAAGGUCUUAAGAGAAAACACUGAGGUCCCUCGAAGAUGAAGAAAUCCUCAUGAAGAUGAAUCCAAAGGUGGAUUCAAUUUCAGCUGUCUUUGGACUGAAGACUGCAACAUCAACACUUCCCAGGGUCUCCAGCCUGCCCGCCUCUCCCGCAAAUUUCAGAUUUGCAAGUAUCCACAGUCAUGAGCAAUUCCUUAAAGUAAAUAUUUCUCUGUUUCUUUCUGGAUAUGUAUAGGUUGUUUCUCUGGAGAAUCCUGAUUAAUACAUGAAGGGUCAAGAUAAGUCUACUCCAGGUGAAGUGCAAAAAAUGAACAAGGAGGCCCAAUGAUGCAUCUGCUUAACUUUUCAGUUGUCAAUGCAAAUUAAGCACAAAGAGGACAGAGUUGAUGACAUAUCAGGAACAUUUUUUACUUCCGGAGCAGGUCUGAGUCCCAGCGGAAGACUGAGGCCGACUGAGCCAGAGGCACCACUUCAAUAGGUCACUGGUCUCUGCAGGGAAAGGAAAAGGUGUAAGAGUUCUCCCUGCAUAGAUGCUAUUUGUGACUUGGAUGUUUUCUUUCUAAUACAAAUGCAUCAAAGUGUUCACAGGAAUCUAGCUAUAUGCAAGAAGUCUGGAUUAUCUGCCUGAGAGAACUGGCCAGUAUCUCACCCAUGAGCACCAGAACCCAUUUCUAGAUUACUAAGAAAGGAGCACAAGAACACUGUGUAUAAGGCUCUGUGUUCCUAGAACUUUCUAAAUUUUACUUAAUGCAGGUUAACUUCAUCAACCCUGGUGAAAAUGCCACCUCCUCAUGAGGAAGCCUUCCCCAUUUGCUCUGUCUCAGAGACACUUGACUCCAUGGACUUCUCUGCAAUUCUGUUCUGUGUAGGACUGCCUAGUGCCUAGCCUUCUUGUGAUGUUCCUUGCUUAUGUCUUGUCUCCCCAUUUGAUUUGGAGGGUCCUGGGCAGGGACCACUGGGCUGGGCUCUAGUAGGCCCCCUGUAAAGACCUGUUGAGUAAUUAGAAGAGACAGUGGCCCCAUCUGGGUGAAUCCUGAAUUUAAUCAAUUUCCUGGAUCCUUGUUUAUUUUGCAAGUAGGAUAAGAAUGUCAUUGAAAUCCUAUCAUGUAGUCAUGGAAGGGCUAAUACAGUCAGUGUACUGCUACUCACUAAGCAUGCUGUUUAGCUCAGCGGUUUUUUGUUUUGUUUUGAUAACAAGACUGUCUCGAUGAAAGAAGCAGGGCGUUGU